rnacentral:rRNA from 1 species
GAGUUUGAUUAUGGCUCAGAACGAACGCUGGCGGCGCGUCUUAAGCAUGCAAGUCGAACGGUAAGGGAGAGCUUGCUCUCCCCUACAGUGGCGGACUGGUGAGUAACGCGUAGGUGACCUACCCUGAAGAUGGGGAUAGCUAGUAGAAAUAUUAGAUAAUACCGAAUAAGCUCAUUUGCAUAAAGGCAGAUGAGGAAAGGAGCUACGGCUCCGCUUUAGGAUGGGCCUGCGUCCCAUUAGCUAAGUUGGUGAGGUAAAGGCUUACCAAGGCAACGAUGGGUAUCCGGCCUGAGAGGGUGAACGGACACAUUGGGACUGAGAUACGGCCCAAACUCCUACGGGAGGCAGCAGCUAAGAAUCUUCCGCAAUGGACGAAAGUCUGACGGAGCGACGCCGUGUGAAUGAAGUAGGCUGAAAAGUUGUAAAAUUCUUUUGCAGAUGAAGAAUAAGGAUAGGAGGGAAUGCCUAUCUGAUGACGGUAGUCAUGCGAAU